GCGAACUCUUAGUUGCAGCAUGUAAGAUCUGGUUCCCUGACCAGGGAUUGAAGCUGGGUCCCCUGCAUUGGGAGCUCAGAGUCUCAGCCACUGGAUCACCAAGGACCUUCCAGGAGGAGCAAUUUUAAAGAGGAGAAAGUGGUCGUCUCAGUUUGGGAUAGUAAAAAAGGUUGUGCUGGGUCUUCGUUGGUGCAAGCAGGUUUUCUCUAGUCGUGGUCAGCAGGGGCUACCCUGUAGUUGUGAUGCGUGGGCUUCUCACUGCAGCGGCUUCUCUUGUUGCAGAGCACAGGUUCUAGGCCCGUGGGCUCAGUAGUUGAGGUCUGAUGUUCCAUGUGCAGUAGGAGGACAUGAGUUGGUGCACGGGGACUCAGUGCCAUGAACUAAAAAGCCACUGAACAGUUCCCUAGUGACUGGAGUUAAUCAGAUUUCACCAAAUGCCUAACCACGUUGUGGAAGAGAGUCUACAUGUGGGAGACACUGCUCGCUGCAUCUCCAUUUAAUCUCUUUCUCCUUUGAAGCAACGUAUUUCCCACAGGCAUUUUUAAAUGACCCUGGAACGGCCACUCCUGGACUGUAGGAGUAAAUGACAAGACAAUAUACAGGU
ensembl:lncRNA